rnacentral:rRNA from 1 species
GUCUUUUUGAAAAUAAUUUAAAGUCAAAUCUGCCCACUGAUUGAUUUAAAGGGCUGCAGUAAAUUGACUGUACAAAGGUAGCAUAAUCAUUAGUCUUUUAAUUGAAGACUUGUAUGAAAGAUUUGAUGAGAUAUAAACUGUCUCUUUUUUAUAAUUAGAAUUUAAUUUUUUAGUAAAAAAGCUAAAAUUUAUUUAAAAGACGAGAAGACCCUAUAGAGUUUUAUUAUUCAUUUAAUUAUAAUUUUUUAUUAAAUUUAAAUAAAAAUUAAUUUAAUUAUUUUAUUGGGGUGAUAAAAAAAUUAAAUAAACUUUUUUUGUAUUUAAACAUUAAUUAAUGAUUAUAUGAUCCAUAAAUUAUGAUUAUAAGAAAAAAUUACCUUAGGGAUAACAGCGUAAUUUUUUUUUUUAGUUCUUAUAAAAAAAAAAGUUUGCGACCUCGAUGUUGGAUUAAGAUAAAAUUUAAAUGUAGAAGUUUAAAUUUUUUGAUCUGUUCGAUCAUUAAAAUCUUACA